rnacentral:lncRNA from 1 species
GGUAUAGUCAUAUAUAUAUUUUUAAUUUUUUUCCUGACCUUUAAAGUAAUAGCUCGUCUUAAAGACCUUUUUUGAUUGCAUAUCAUGAUCACCCUUUUUUUCUUAAUUUGAUGCUCUGGUCAUAUUCUUCAUGUUUUGAAUCGAGGGAUUAAGAAAUAGCAGGUCAUAAAAGCCUAUCAUCCAAUUUUUUGCUGUUCUAAUCAGUUUGUUGUGGAACUUGAAUUUGAAAGUUGUCUAUCACAAUAAUUCUUGUUCGUGGACUGCUGCUGAGUUUGGACUUAUGGUGAUGAUCUUGGAGAUGCCAUUUUCGAUUUGAUCCUCUUCACUUGGCUGUUAAGGCUAUCUGGUAGAGUCAUUAUAUUUGUAAAGAUUAUUCACAUAAUUCUUUUCAUGAGUUAGGAAAGCUAAGAGCGAAUUAUUGACCUUCAAAAACCAUUUUGCAUUUAUUUGUUUCACUUCUGUAUUUUCUGUAGAAGUUGGAGAUAUUUUUACUCUUUUAUUCUAGUAGAAUGUAUAUUUUCUGAGUAUUGAGG